AUGCACUUUAGGUUAACAUCUUCCACUCCAUUUGCACUAAUACAGGAAUGGGGUCCGAACAGAUGGUUCAGCAAAAGGGUUGUUGUGGAGAUAGUCCAUCCAGAGGGAGGAAGAAGGCUAAACUUCCCAAGGCUUUUUAGUUUAGGGGAAAGGCCAACAAUGAGGCCCAAAUUAGAGGAGAAAGUGAGCAAUAAGAAGGACAAAGUGGAUACAGAGAUGAUUGCCUCUUUUCUUAUCAUAUUAAAACUUAUGGUAAUUCAAUGAAACUGAUUAACAGGAGAUUUGGAACUGGCAAGAGAGGGUGCUUAGAAUGGAACGCCUACCAAGUUGCAUGAAGACAAAUCAUCAAAGAUAAUUCAGUAAAUUAACUGAGGAAGACGCUACGUCUGUGGGUGGUUUGUAAUCACAAGGGAUAUCUGGAAUCCCUGAAUACAAAGCUGAAUGCCACUGAAUAUUGGUGCAUUGUCACAAGGUAUGAUCUUUAUUAAAAAAAAUCUUCAGAAUCUUCAAAAGCUGCUGAAAAUGUAGAGGAGGCAUAUAUGCCUCCAAAAGAAAAGCUGAAUAAACAUUCUUUGUGCAAUGAGCUUUGUGUUUGAAAUAUGCUUGGUAAACUUGAAAAGAACAGAGUAUUUUUAUUUUGGUCAAUGAACAGCAUUAAAAGAACCGGUAGAACAUGAGUAAAUUUAGUAUGUUCUGUACCCUAAAGUUAACCUGAUAUGUCAAGUUGUCUCGGAUACAUUUUGAAAACAGGGUGACAUGAAACAUGUUUGUCCCAUGGUGUCCAGGGCUAUGCCUACACUGUAACAUUAAUGUAGUUUGAUACCACUUCAACCAUCUUGACUAAGUGCUAUGGAAUCCAUUGGCAGAGAAGGCUAAUGUCUUUUACUGGGGGCUGCGGAGCACCAAUAACCAUGCGCAGAG
rnacentral:lncRNA from 11 species